CUUCUGUGUUGACUGUUGUGGUAUGAGAGCAGAGAAAAUGCACUGUGUUUUUCCUGAAACACAAGACUUGGAGGCCCACAUCACUCUUGCCCCGAGUAGUGUUUUUCUCUCAAGAUGCUCAGAAGGAAUCUUUAAACAAAGAUGAUCAAGGAAAUGAAGCUUAUUUAUGGGUCUGUUUUGAAGGUGGAACCAGGGAUUCCUCGAUUGGCCAAUGACUUGAGUGAGUAGGAGGAGCCGUCACUCCAUCAUACCAAUCAGAAGCCAAGUAUUGGUUCCCACCCUAUGACAUACCACCUCCAAUUGGCCAAUAGAAGCAGAGAGAAGGGCUAGGAGGUGGGGCCUGCCUGGCCGCCAUGGUAAUCCCCUGUGGUUGGUGAUCAAGGAAGAGCUUCCAUGUAGCACCGGUAGUGCCAGAUCCAGGUGUUUACACUGAUGUCUGAUGAGGAUGAGUCCAGCGACUAUCUCUGCCUGUCCAUCCUGAGCCUCUUCUGUUGCCUUCCCUUCGCCAUCCCAGCCGUGAUCUUUUCUUGCCUGACAAAGAAGUACAAUAAAUCCAGUGACUAUGAGCUGGCAGCCAAGACCUCCAAACAAGCCUUCUACUGGGCCAUCACGAGCAUCACUGUGGGAAUCUUAGGCACCAUCUUGUACACCUACCUAUUAUACUUACUUAGAUAGUAAACUGCUUCCCAGCUCUUGGACAAACCACCAAAUACACACCGCAGUGCAAUUUACCUUGGCUCUAAGCAUCUACUUGGGCUGAACGGAACACCUGCUCCUCAAUGUCUGGAGUGCCAAGCUAUCUAAGAUUAGAAAAACAAAAUGCAAAGUAUUCUUCCUAUUCUUACAUGCCCCUCAACGUAACACUGCUUUUUUUUUUUUUUUUUUUUUGACAGAGUCUUGCUCUGUCCAGGCUGGAGUGCAGUGCCGUGAUCUCAGCUCACUGCAACCUCUGCCCCCCAGGUUUAAGCGAUUCUUCUGCCUCAGCCUCCUGAGUAGCUGGGAUUACAGGUGCACACCAUCCAUCAUGCCCAGCUAAUUUUGUAUUUUUAGUAGAGACGGGGUUUUACCAUGUUGGCCAGGCUGGUCUCAAACUCCUGACCUCAGGUGAUCCACUCACCUUAGCUUUCCAAAGUGCUGGGGUUACAGGUGUAAACCAUCAUACCAGGCCUCAGCAUAACACUUUUAACACCAAAUAUUAGAGCCGGGAGCAGGGGUACUUUCCCCACCUAUCAACCAACCAGAUUCUCCAGCAGAUACCAAUUGGGUGUCCUGUAAUUUAAUUCAAUUCUGACACUGUCUACAUGGAGAUGGCAUCAGAUCCCACAGGUUGAAGGCUCAAUCCCAUAAGACUCCCCCCUAACUUUGGAUAUCAGCCACAAGUGGUAAGUCGUUACCUAGACUUGUGACUGACAAGCUAUAAAUCUGACAAGUUAUAAUUCGGGUGUUCCCAUGACCCCCCUCCUCAAGCCUGAUUAAUUUGUUCCAGCUGGCCAGGUGCAGUAGCUCAGGCCUGUAAUUCCAGCACUUUGAGUGGCUGAGGCAGGAAGAUCGCUUGAAGCCAGGAGUUUGAGACCAGCCUGGCCAACAUGGCAAAACCCCGUCUCUACUAAAAAUUAGCCGGGUGUGAUGGCACACGCCUAUAAUCCCAGCUACUUAGGAGGCUGAGGCAGGAGAAUCACUUAAACCUGGGAGGUGGAGGUUGCAGAGAGCUGAGAUCGCACCACUGCACUCCAGCCUGGGCAACACAGUGAGACUCCAUCCAAAAUAAUAAUAAUAAUAAAUAAAAUUUUUUUUAAAAAAGACACUCUUAUCACGCCAGAGAUCCCAAGGGUUUUAGGAGCUCUGGGCCACAAAAUGGGACCUAGACCAAUAUAUAUUUCACAGUAUCACACAAGUGUUGCCAGCCUGGGUCGGCAGCUUGAAGGAAAGGAAGUGGUAGCUCCAGCAGCCCACUCGACCAGAACUCAAGACCAACUCUGGGACCCUGCCAUGGCAUGGGGGCCAUGGGAGAGAGAGGAGGAACCCGUUGCUCAAGAACAGCCUGCCCACAUUCAUGUAUUCACAUCAGAAGUCUAGUUCUGCCUACCAAGGGCCUUGGCUGUGCUACCUAACCCUGGAGACCUAGCAGUGACUACUUCAAAUUCAACCCAACCCCCUCAGAACAUAUAAAUUGGGGUGAGAGACAGACAUGCCGCCAGACAGUGACAAUUGGAGUGGUCCAAUAUAUAAUGGAAGAAAACUGGGGAAGCAUUACUAAAGAAACACUUGUUCAAUGACACUCGUUAUAGACAGUAAGGCAGGCCAGACACAGUGGAUCAUGCCUGUAGUCCCAGCACUUUGGGAGGCCGAGGCGGGCGGAUCACUUGAGCUCAGGAGUUCAAGACCAGCCUGGCCAACAUGGUGAAACCCUGUCUCUACUAAAAAUACAAAAUUAGCUGGGCAUGGUGAUGGGCACCUGUAAUCCCAGCUACUCAGGAAGCUGAGGCAUGAGAAUUGCUUGAACCUGGCAGGCAGAGGUUGCAGUGAGUCAAGAUCUCACCACUGCACUCCGGCCUGUGGGACAGAGCAAGACUGACUCUGUCUCAAAAAAAAAAAAAAAAAAAAAAAGACAGUAAGGCAGACUUUAUUCAGAACCAUUGCAAUAUGCAGAGGGAACGCUGCAAAACAGGGGCUUGCACUGAGGGAGAAAGAUGGGGCUCAACACUGAAUACAGCAUGAGCAAGCGGGAAGUCCUAGUCAAGGAGCAGGGUAGGGGUCAGUGGAUGGAAAAUUAGUAAGAGAAAACAUUGAGGGUAAGGGGGAUUCUGACUAAACCAACCUAAUAGGAUUCUAGACCAGACAUCACAAUGAGGAUGGUGGAGGUUGAGGAACCUGAUCAGAUGCUGAGGUUUAUCAGAUACAGAGGAUGAGGGUUUCUAGCUAAACUGACGUAGAAGGGUUAUUUUGCUACAACUGGAUUUUACAAAGAAGUGCACAGAUGGGCCUAGGAGAAGGUUCAGGUGCUUUUUUUUUUUUUUUUUUUGAGACGGAGUCUUGCUCUGUCACCCAGGCUGGAAUGCAGUGGUGCGAUCUCGGCUCACUACAACCUCGGCUUCCCAUGUUCAAGCCAUUCUCCUGCCUCAGCCUCCUGAGUAGCUGUGAUUACAGGUGGUUGCCCCCAUGCCCGGCUAAUUUUUUAAAUAUUUUUAGUAGAGAUGGGGAUUCACCAUGUUGGUGAGGCUGGUCUUGAACUCCUGACCUCGUGAUCCACCUGCCUCGGCCUCCCAAAAUGCUGGGAUUACAGGCCUUAGCCAUUGCACCUGGCCUUUCUUCUCUUUUUUCUUUUUUUCUUUUUUUUUUUUUUUUUGAGACAGGAUCUCGCUCUCUCACCCAGGCUGGAGUGCGGUGGCACGAUCUCGGCUCAAUGCAACCUCUGCCUCCCAGGUUCAGGUGAUUCUCCUGCCUUGGCCUCCUGAGUAG
ensembl:lncRNA